GUGAAUUUGACUUAUGUAGCCCACAUAGAUGACAAACUGCACCAGCAUGUGAGAGACAACAGCUUGGACUGUCCAUAAACCACUAAACAACUUGUUCCCCAAACCAGCCCACCCAUAAAAACACAAGUGAACAAAAAUGCAAAGAAAUGACACUGGAUGCAUUUACCACCAAACUACUACUCUUGGGAGGCCAAGGAAAGUUCCUAGC
rnacentral:misc_RNA from 1 species